rnacentral:lncRNA from 1 species
AGAAAGGGCGGGGCUUCAGGAGGUCCGUUUCUCUUUGCUACUUAUUUCUAUCCGGAGCGGUGCCUGCGUGGAGCUUCCACGUUGCGACUCAGCCGACCGUCAUCCUUACGCCUGCACGAUCUAGUGUGACUCUGAGCAGCCGUCUCCCGACUCUUCUUCCUAAGGAUCUAGAAGCAGAAAGCAGCAGCUCCACUUCCCUGCAAAGGAGCUGGGCGGCGGCACCAUGAAGUACAUGCUAAACCUCUACGUGCUGGGGGUCAUGUUGACCCUGCUUUCCAUCUUUGUUAGACUGAUGGAGUCACUGGGAGGAUUGUUGGAGAACCCAUUGCCCGGGAGCUCCUGGAUUACGAGAGGUCACCUAGCCAACACACAGCCUCCCAGGGGCCUUCCAGACCAUCCAUCCAGAGGAGUGCAAUAAAACCUCCCCCCAGGCAUCAGCCAUGCUUUGACACACUGACUUCAGCAUGUCCGACCACAUGUUUCAUUUCCCAAGAGGCAACAUCAAGUGUCUCCAAAGAACUGUUACUAGGCCUGGCAGGGCAGUUUUCUUUUGGAUGUUCCCUUACACGGGAAAAGAGCCUGUUUACUGGAGAGGUGUGAGUGGCUUGUCUGUGGCUCUGAGAUGGUGGUGUACCGUUUUCAGCUGUUGGGAGAACGUUUUUUUGGUUUUGUUUGUUUGUUUAAGUCCUCCGUCCUAAAGGACUCUUUUGGACCUAAGCAUCUUCUGUUGUUUACGAUUGAGCCUCUCUUCCAGGAGAGUUUUGUUUGGACAGCAUCUAAGGGGUUGUGGGUUGGCCACGAAGACAGGGUGGACCAUCCGGUGUUUAGGUCUAAGUUCUGCGUUUAAGUUCUUUCUCCAGUGUAAUGCACAUGUGUUUGUACAUAAUGUCUAAAGGGCUAUGGGAUGAUCAGGCCUGCUAGGGUAUAGGCAUUCCAGCCACUGUGUGGCUUACAUGAGUUUUUCUAAUGCAAUAAAUGUGAAUAUAUGUGUAUGUAUACAUUUCCACCGUGUGUCCUGUUGACAUGCCUGCUCUUGAAAUUAGUAAGGAAACGUUUAAAUCCUAGAUCUUUAAGUAAACCAUCUCUAUUAAUUUAUUUUUGAGGCAAGAUCUCACAGUGUAGCCCUAGUUGCCCUGUAAGUCACCAUAUAGACCAGGCUGGCCUCAGAGACACACCUGGUGCCUCUUUUGCCUCUCUAGUGCUGGGAUUAAAAGUGCGCACCACUAUAUCUGGCUAUUUUUACUUUUGAGAUCGUCUCAUGUAGCUAAGGCUGGCCUUGUCCCACCCGAUCCACCCGCCUCUGCCUUCUAAGUGUUAAGACUAUAGGCUUCUAUCUGAACUUAAUAUUUUCAAACUUAGGAGCAAGAACAUGCUCAAAGCUUUGCUUAGAAACUAAAUAUGGGGGCUGGGGAUUUAGCUCAGUGGUAGAGCGCUUACCUAGGAAGCGCAAGGCCCUGGGUUCGGUCCCCAGCUCCGAAAAAAAGAACCAAAAAAAAAAAAAAAAA